CCAUUGGUCAUUUUCACUAACCUCAUCAUUUUUUUUUUUUUGUUAAAUCUAGAGGUAUAUUAGGAACUUCAACUUAAAACUUAAAAAAAAAAGAAUUAAAAAGAAGCUAAAAAGCAAAUAAAAAUUUAUAAAUUAAUAUCUAAAACUUAAAACAAAAUGAACUUUGAACUAUAAAAGUACAAAAUGAAAAUGGUUGGACUUUAGCAACUUGUAAAUAUUACGCAAUGUGAUUUCAAAGUUGGUAGGAGAUCGAACUGGGGCUAGACUUGAACAACUAACAAAUCACAUAUUGAACUAUGAAAAACAAAUUUCUAUGUAUUCAAUUUUUUUACGAAAAAUAUCUGGUUUUUUCAGGGUUUUUUUUCUUCUCAUUUCUCAAGGACUAAAAAACUAAAUGUGAGUUCAAGGAUUAAAACUAAACUAUGGAUAAAUUCAGCUACCAUUAUUAUAAUUAAACCAUUUGAUAUUGAUGAGAUGGAUUGUGAUCGAUCAAUUGUUACGCACAAUCUACAUCAAAUGAAUUGCUGGAUAGGAUCAAAUUGUGGUCUCCUCUAAACUUUUUCACUAAAAAUGGUUUACUCCAUCAAGGUGUCUUUUUUUUUUUUGGCUUAAAAGAAAAAGACUUCUAUGAAAUGAACUCUCUCAUGUAGCAUGUGUUGGUUAAAUAAAUGCAUUGCUAUGUGGGAUGAAGUUCCUAAUAUGCCCCUAAAUAUAAUGGAAGA
rnacentral:lncRNA from 1 species